rnacentral:miRNA from 1 species
UGUUGCGUUUUUCAUACGUACGUAUACGCACGUAAAACUUUAAAUCCGUUUAAAUGAAAUAACCAAAUAAAUAAAGCAACAGAAUUUAGUGUUCCGCAAGUUUUAGUAUGCAUUUGUUAACUUAUUUGUAAAAUAUUUAAAAAAUAGAAGGAUUCAAAGUUUCACGUGCGUGUACGUGCGUACGAAAAACGCAACA